CUGGUGUGGAAUAGACAGAAGUCCCGAGGGGAAUAUCCAUAUUCUCAGGAACAUCAGCCUGGUGGUGACUUCAAUGACAACCAGGUCAACCUUCAUCAGUGACUCUGAUUACUGUCUGUCAAGCGGCACAUUCAUGAUGCUGUUCUGUGCAUUCCUCGUGACCAAGAUCCUGG